rnacentral:rRNA from 1 species
CCUACGGGGGGCAGCAGUGGGGAAUAUUGGACAAUGGGGGCAACCCUGAUCCAGCCAUGCCGCGUGUGUGAAGAAGGCCCUCGGGUUGUAAAGCACUUUCAGUGAGGAAGAACGCCUGGUGGUUAAGACCCAUCAGGAAAGACAUCACUCACAGAAGAAGCACCGGCUAACUCCGUGCCAGCAGCCGCGGUAAUACGGAGGGUGCGAGCGUUAAUCGGAAUUACUGGGCGUAAAGCGCGCGUAGGUGGCUUGAUAAGCCGGUUGUGAAAGCCCCGGGCUCAACCUGGGAACGGCAUCCGGAACUGUCAAGCUAGAGUGCAGGAGAGGAAGGUAGAAUUCCCGGUGUAGCGGUGAAAUGCGUAGAGAUCGGGAGGAAGACCAGUGGCGAAGGCGGCCUUCUGGACUGACACUGACACUGAGGUGCGAAAGCGUGGGUAGCAAACAGGAUUAGAUACCCGUGUAGUC